AUUGAACGCUGGCGGCAUGCCUUACACAUGCAAGUCGAACGGCAGCACGGGAGCAAUCCUGGUGGCGAGUGGCGAACGGGUGAGUAAUACGUCGGAACGUGCCCAGUCGUGGGGGAUAACGUAGCGAAAGCUACGCUAAUACCGCAUACGAACUCAGGUUGAAAGCGGGGGAUCGCAAGACCUCGCGCGAUUGGAGCGGCCGAUGGCAGAUUAGGUAGUUGGUGGGGUAAAGGCCUACCAAGCCGACGAUCUGUAGCUGGUCUGAGAGGACGACCAGCCACACUGGGACUGAGACACGGCCCAGACUCCUACGGGAGGCAGCAGUGGGGAAUUUUGGACAAUGGGCGCAAGCCUGAUCCAGCCAUUCCGCGUGCAGGAUGAAGGCCCUCGGGUUGUAAACUGCUUUUGUACGGAACGAAACGCGCUGAGCUAAUACCUCGGCGUAAUGACGGUACCGUAAGAAUAAGCACCGGCUAACUACGUGCCAGCCGCCGCUGUAACAC
rnacentral:rRNA from 1 species